AGACAAUUGGCUGAGUUGGUUAAAGCGAUGGCCUUGAGUACCAUUAAACUUAUGUUUUGAUGGGUUCGAAUCCUAUAUUGUCUG
rnacentral:tRNA from 1 species